GGGGGAGAGACGGGGGAGCGGGCGCCGCCGGCCACCGAACAGGACUAGGUGGUCGUCGCGUGUAAUGCGUUGUCGAUGCUUGGGUAGGUGUAGAGGUGGUAGGUGGUAGGAUAUCAAAACAGUCAGCUCGUUUCGUAAUUUGUCAUGCCUCUGCCAUUUUGUUGGCUGUAAAAUGUGUAUUGCGGAUUGUUCUAUAGCUACUUGAUUUACUUCACCCGCCCGACUCGGUUUGACGUCCAAAGAUCGAGAUAUCAAACUCGACUGUCGAAUAAAUUUUUGUGCCAGCCCACACGAACGCUUAGGCAAUCGACUGCCGAAGAUUUAUUGUCAAAAUUUCCCGUUAGUAACGCUUACCGAGCACACUCCGCGUAUCACUAUUUCACAAAUAAAAGAACCAGUCGCGAUAUCAUCGUCGACUAUAAAUUAUAUGAAGCUCGUAUGAAAAAUACAUGUUUCGAUGUCCGCUUAUUUAUCGCUUAGCUUGAGUUAUGUAUGCAUACGUUAUGUUAAUCUCGACUCGUUAUUAAAUACACGUUUCUAUUAAUAUUAAUUAGCUUCUGUCAAUAUUAUAUAUUUUAAAUUUCCAUCUAUAACAUACAUACAUACAUACAUAUGUAUGAUGUCAAUGGGCGAGAUGGCUGGUGAGUGUCACUUUGUUUGUUGGUAUCGGGACGGGUGAUCUGCUAUCUAUGCCAUCAGUACAGUGGCAGUUCCACACUAGGUAUAGGAUAAGUUCCCGCGUUGUUCUGCUUGUGAUAUAUUGUCCCAUGUCUCCAUGUAUAAAUCUUGAACGCCUGCUGAGGUACACGGACACAGCCGCGCCGCAGCCUCCAGCUUCAAAUGGAAUUGUGUUUUUAUUUAUCGUGCGAAUUCUGCCCCACUAUA